GGGGGCGACUGGUUUCGACGGGUUGACUUUGACAGAGCUGGCAGGCCGAGGUCUUGGCCCCUCGUUAAACCGUCAAGAAACACUAAUAAGUGCAAACCACAACUUUGCACUGGCUGCUUAGUAACUAGCUAGCCCGUCUGAUUCGGACUCGCCGGUCGGUCUGAACUCAGGCGACGCAUAGACCGGAUAGUUUUCCCCCGGCGCUUCGGCGGGGGAGAAUGAAAACUUACCGGAGCUGGCUGGGAGCAGACCUGCCAAUCGGUGCCGCUCCGGCGAGAAAAAAAGACUGGCUACGCCUGUAGAGGGCUCUGAGCCUUGCUUCUCGGACGUGGGUUCGAUUCCCACCGCCUCCAUUU
rnacentral:tmRNA from 1 species